UUCUGCUGUACAGCAAAGUGACCCAGUCAAACAUAUAUAGACUUUAUUUUUUUAGUCCUGUUUUCCAUCCUGGUCUAUCCCAAGAGACUGGAUAGAGUUCCCUGUGCUGGACAGCAGGACCUCACGGCUCAUCCAUCUUAAAUGUCAUAGUUUUGCCUCUACUAACCCCCAAACUCCUCAUUGCUCCCGCCCCGGGAAAUUUCCAGCUCUGAGCUAGAAUUUGAAUUUUGACUCCUUCCCUCCAUUCCGCCCCGCCCCUAUUUUUCUGUUGCUACUUCGUGUCAGCGCUUUUAGCAUCCCACGUAUUCUAGAAGUUGUGCCUUCUCUUAGAGGCUUAAUUUAAGCUGGAUUCAUGGGGACCUCUUGGGAGUUUACAGCUUGCUGGGGUGGGGCCCCGGGGGCUGGAAUGAGUUUCCUGUUUCUCUCUUUGCUCCGUUAAACUGGCUUGGCUGCCCCACCACAAAGUUUUUCACAGAUUUUUUUUUUUUUUGGUUGGUUGGUUGGUUGGGUUUUUUUGUUUGUUUGUUUUGCUUUUCUGCUGUGUGUGUCUGAGUCACAGCUGCUCACAAGACUUUUUCAUGCAUCCCUCCAGCACGCCUGCAGUCACGCUUUGUGACUUAAUUCCCCACCGAGCCCCUCCCGUGUUGGGGGGGGGUGGGGGGGGGAAGAUGGGAUGGGUUUCGGGUCACCCAACAAUGGAGCAUCUCUGGGUGGAAGAGAGACAGCUCAGCAGGCCAGUAAGACCCAGGGCCAAAGAGCGGUGACGGUCACAUCAGAAUUCCGUGGUUUCUUUUUUUUUUUUUUUUUCUCUGUAUACUCACUUUAUCCUCAUUUUUUUUUUUUAUUACUCAAAUGAACCUAUCACAUCUGUAGUUGUAUAACAAUCUUCACAAUCUCAUUUGCCUGGUUUCUAGGCAGGUCGUUCACCAGCCGCUCCGGCGUGGUUGGUGGUUUCAGCCAGUGGCCCCUGCGGAUUGAGGGGCACUGGGGUGGCAGGGGGCGGGGAACCAGCCUGGCCCCAGCCCUCCCGGCCCGCCUGAUCCUUCUGGCGGCCCCGGCAGGGAACGGGCUGUUCCCAAGACACAAAUGGGGUUUUACAGGAAAUUUUGUUUGGAGCUGUUUUUGAGAGCGCACGUCCCUCUAGAAAUAUGGGUUUGGCGUGGUUUCUCGUCUGGCUACAAAAGCCCGUUGAGUCAGGGACCAGUUCCCCCUGGGGUGCGGGAUAGCUCUGGGCUGGUUUCAGACGCCUGGGGACCCAGGGUGCUGAGUUCCCAAGCCUGAAAUGGAGCACGACUUCCCCUGCCACUGGGGGUGGGGCAGAUGGCCAGGGAUGCUGCCCCCCCCCAAAUCCUCCUUCCCCAAAAAGGCUAGCAGUGCUGCAGGUGAGGCUGCCCCGCAUUUGUAAGCAUUAGGCAGUCUAGGUUGUCGGUCGCUGGCUGUUUUGAUUGAGUAUUCGUCCUCCCGUUAGAAAAAUUAGGCGUUCCCCUUGCGGCUCAGAGGGUUAAGGACCUGACAUUGUCUCCCUGAGAAUGCGGGUUCCAUCCCUGGCCCCGUUCAGUGCGUUAAGGAUCUGGCGUAGUUGUGGCUGUGGUGUAGACCGGCACCUGCAGCUCCGAUUGGACCCCUAGACGGAGAACUUCCAUGUGCUGCCGCUGCAGCCCUAAAAAGAAAAAAAAAAGACAAGAAGCAGAAAAAUCACAUCCCAGGAUCUAAGCCAGCAGACGCCGGGGCGACCUCAGAGAGGGCCGGCUGAGACGUGGUCCAGGACGGUGCUGAAUGCAUGGAGCCCACGCUGAAGGGCCACGCGUGGUUCUGGGUGGGGGAGCCCUGCGCCGUUUCGUAUCCUGACUCACCAAACCCGGAAAGACCUCCAGAAACUGACGCCUGGGAGGGGGACGCCUACGGUCUGGGGGACUCCUCGCUCCCACCCCAGGCCUCUGCUGCCUACUGUCUCUCUCCCCCCCUGAUGGAGGGAAGGGAUGCCUGCUCCUGCCCGGCCAGCGCAGGAAGUGGGUUGCAUUGUCCUGCCUGCGUGUUUGGCUCUGAUAAAAGUGAACUGUGUCUCGUUUCCCGCAGUGCUUUGGCUCUGUCUCCAUUCUCAGUUUAUGCUGUUGCCACACUUCUGUUCAUUUAUUUAUUUUUGCAUCUGGAGCCAUUAAUAUACUUGAUGGGGGGGAGGGGGGACCUCUUCUUCAUGUGGAUGACAUGUGAGUUGUUGAAAAAAGAACACAGCGGUUCGGAUUGAGGGAUUCAGCCCAUCUGCCCUCCAGCCGUCCUGGUGGGACUUCGCUGAUGACACCCGGAAUUUUUUCCAGCUGAUGUUUUUCCUUCCAGAGGAGACUGACGGCCACACAGGCGGAGCGCGAGGAUUUGUCCUGACGGGCAUUUUCCCAUCACGCCUCUGAGCUGUCGUGACAUCCACGAGCCUGCAUCCAGGGGCACCAUCCCACAUCAUAACCUUCCGGGAAAAGGCUGAACCGUAGCAAACUGAAAUGUGACAUGGACACCGGCCGUGACGGAAUGCUGUUUGGAAAAACGUCACCCAUAAAUCUGGUCAAAGCAGGGUUGCCCCGAACCCUUGAUGUGUGAAAAACGCGGUGAAGCCAAACACUUCCAGCUGCUUUUUUGGCUGACGCUCAUCUCUGGGUGAGAGAGGGGAACUAAACGAGUUAAGACCCAAGGUCUGCCCGUGCCUUUCACAUCUGUACCUGUGCCCCUGUCCCCCGAUGGGACCUUAGAGCUCCUGGUUUGGUUUUUCUUUUUUUGAAUUUCUGAGUUCGGCCAGCCGUUUGGGGAGAGAGCCCACGGCUGUGUUUCUUGCAGCUUUGUCUCAGGAUGACUCAGUGUGGCCGCCGUCGUGGGUCUCAUAUUCUUUUUUAAAAAAAUCCCCUCCCCUCCACAGGAAGCCAGACAGGUGGUUUAUUCCCCCUCACACCCCCACCCCCAGAGGCAGAUGCCAACCCUACGAGCUGAGCUGCUGCGCUGCCAGCGGCCGUUAGGGCUGUGAAUUUAGUGUGUGUCAAGCUGCCUUGAAAAGAAGAAAAGAAACCAGACCGGGGUAGAAAACACCCACGUCAUCCAUCCGCGUUUUGCAAAGCAAGCAUCGCAGGCUUCUGGGCAGGUCCUGCGGUUCUGGGUGGCUGGCGGGGACCAGGAUGGGAAAUGCCUUUGUUUCCUCGGCUGGGCAGGCGAGAGAGGUUGCAAUCCGUCGCCAAUCGAGGCCCCUUUUCACGGUUCUGCAUCCUGUCCCCGCACGUGAUCUUGGUGAUAGGGUCCCUUUUUUUUUUUUUUUUUUUUUUUUUUUUUAUCUUGACACGUUCAUUGCCUUCAAGCCAAAGACCAGCAGCUUCACACAGAGCGAGAAUUAACUUUAUUUCCUGCUGUUCACCGCCCUUCCUGAGCAGGCAGGGGAGGAGCCUGAGCUGCUGCCCUCCCAGGCUUGGAAAACAUUAGUUGGCCUGAGACAGUGUAACCAGAGGAUUCCUGCUACGUCGGUGGGUUUCCGCAGCAUCAGAGCCUCCCCCUGGCCCCGGGCUGGUGGCGCUCAGCGGACCCGAAAGAUGCAUCAGGGCUGAAGCAACGCCCUGGACCGGAGUUACUGAUGGACAGGCCGCAAGCGGAUGUUGUCUGAACAUGGACAGAUUUUAGAAACACGGCAGGGACCCAAGCGCUGCCGGUCAGCGGCUGCGGCACUGAGCUGUCUCCUCCGCCCAAAGGGCGUGGGUCCCUGCUGGCUGGAGGUCCAGUGCCUCUCUUUCCUGCGUGGUCAGCACAAAAGGCACCUCUCUGGGUGAAAGGAUGCAGGAAGGAGGGUUCUGGGUGUUGGGCACUGAGCAGCUCCGGGGCGCAGGAAGGGGGAAGGGUAUGGAUGGGUCCCAGAGGGAGUGGGCGAUGGGUGUGACCGGGGUGUCCCCGGGGUUCUGGAGGAGUGUGGCUUGGAAGGUCAAGGGCCCCUGGGUGCUGAGGCCUUCACUUACGGACUGGUGUCCAGGCUGGAGGGAGGGAGCACGUGUUAGAUGCUCUAGAUGCUGGAUGGAUGGGUGGGUAAGAGAUAGAUAGGGAGUCGAUAAUAGGCAGGUAGGUAGGUAGAGAGAUAGACAGAUACAGAGAUAUAUAUGAUAGAGAGAGAAAUAGAUUCAGAGAUACGCAUAAUAGAUAUACGUAAUUGAUCAUUGAUGGGCAGAUAUACAUAAUAGAUAGUUUGCUACAGAGAUGGAUGAUGGAUAGAUAUACACAAGAGAUAGGUCGGUAGGGAGAUAGGCGGGUGGAUGGAUGGAUUGAUAGAGGGAUAGAUGGAUGGAUGGGUAAGAGGUGGACAGGGAGUUGAUGGAUAGGCAGGUAGGUGCAUAGAUAGAUGACAGAUACAGAGAUAUACAGAAUAGACAGACAGACAUACCCGAUAGGUAGUUGAUAGAUAGGUAAUAGAUUGGUAGGGGGAUAGACGGAUGGUGGAUGGAUGGAUAGAUGAUAGAUAAAUAGAUAGCAAGCUAGACAUAAUAGAUAGUCAGGUUGGUAGGACAGAUGGACAGAUGGACUGGAUGGAUGGAUGGAUGAUAAGUAGAUAGAUACACAUAAUAGGUGGAUAGAUAAUAGAUAGACAGAGAUACGUAACAGACACGUAGGUAGACAGAUGGAUACACAGGUAGAUGAGAGAUAAUAGAUAUGAAGUUCUGUUACAGACGUGAUUUGCAGAAGAUAAUAGGUAAACAGGUUGAUUGAUAAAUAGAUAUAGAGGUGAUUGGUAGAUAGGUACCUAAGAUAGACAGAAAAAUAGACAAUGGAAGAUUAGGCGGAUAGAAGAUGACAGAGGACAGAUAAUUUUUUUUUUCUUUUUUUGGCUGCCCCUCAGCAUAUGGAGCUCCCCGGGCAGGGAUCAGAUCUGAGCCACAGUUGGCACUUGGGCCGCACUUGCAGUGCUGCUGGAUCCUUAACCCACUGGGCCGGGCUGGGGAUUGAACCUGCGUCCCACUGCUCCCAAGACACUGCCAAUCCUGUUGCGCCGUGGCAGGAACUCCAGGUGAUAGUUGAUCAAAGAUCUAUGGGUGGAGAGCUGGAUGGCUGCAGUAAACUGUCUCCAGGGGUUUCCAGCAGGAGGGGGGUCGUUAUUAUCUCGAUGCUCUGAAGCCACCAGCACCCAGAUGCAUCAUCGACAUUUCACCAGGCAAUGGGUGAGAUUCCAGCAAGACAAGGCGCUGACUCAGAGCUGGGAGGGAAUCUGGGAGGGGAAAGGAUGUGGGGGUGGGGGAUGAGCUUGGUAGCUGCUGAUAGGUCUCAGGUCCUUCUGGCCGCAUCCGUUGUGUCAGCAGUGAUCCACAUCCUGAGUUUCUCAGGAUUUUCUCCAGACUUGGGUCUCCUCCUUCAUUCCUACCUUUUGUGAUAUGACCGUUUGCCCAGAUUCUCAACCAGAACAGUCACCCUUCAUUCCUGCCAUUUCUCCCGUAUCUGAGGGUAGUGAAUUCUCUUGAUUCCAUAUUCUCUUUCUUCAUCCACGCAAUGCUCCUUUCUCCAUCUCUGCGUUCUUUGUGAGACCUCUCCCUGCCACCCCCAACCGACUUCCUUCCUAAAUGAAUACAAGAAGCCCUUAACUUCUUUCCUCCCUGGAUCCUGGGACACUUUGAGGAGGCCUGGGGACUCCCUCUCAUAAUAAUAUAUUUUUUAAUGCCUGAGAUUAAAUACGUAGAUAUACGUUGUUUUUCUCACAUUAUCUUCCAUCCUCUUCCAUCGCUAGUGAUUAGAUGACGUUAUAACAGGGUCACUUUUCUGGACAGAAAUUGACAGAACAUUGUAAAUCCACUGUAAUAAAAACAUUUUUUGAAGAAGAGGAAAUACACAGGAUUGCCGAGGACACCGAUUUAUAUUAAACCAACUACGUAGUGUGCAGGUGAACCAGACCCUGGUCCCAGCUGAGGCCGGUGGUGGAGCCUGGGCCAAGGGACCAGGAAUGAGAGAGAGAAGGGACCAGCCACGGCAGCUCAGGAAGGAAAGAUCUGUGGCCGGGCCUGCAGACUGGGACACACAUUGGCAUCCUUUAGGUGGGCCUUAGUACCCCGGUACCUGGGUCUCGGCCCCCAGAGUUUCUGAUUCGAUUGGCUCAGAGGCCAUGCUUCUCAGACUCACUGGUGGAAAAGCUUGAGUCCUGGCUGGGAGGGAUGCCAAGGGCUUUCAGGAGGAGGCAGCAUCAUCUCAGGGCUUUGAGGGAUGAAUAGGAGUUUUCCUGGCCUGGACAGAAAAGAUUGGCAUGGAUGGCCAGGGUGCCCAAACUGUCUGAGCACACCCCCCCUUCCCAAGUCCUUCACAAGAUGCUGGGGUGAUGGUAAAUUUUUCCUUAAGUACCCAUGCCUCCUCGGGAGUCACAGACCCCCCAUCUGUGCAUCUGCCUUCUUGCUACCACUUACUUGUAACUCCCAAAUCCAGUCUCUGAGUUCAGCGAUUUGUGCAGGGCAGCAGCAGCAACAACAACAAAAGCCACUUUCAGGUCUUGGACUGUAAACAAGUGUCUUUUUUGCGGGCUGUGUAAUGCCCCCUGUUUGCAUUUUUGCCCUUUAUGCCUGUGACUUUGCUGUUGUUUCACACAGCCCCCAAGUGCUGAAGUGCCAGGCGCUGCCUCUAAGCACAAGGAGGCUGCCCAAUGCCUGGCAGAGAACGUAGGUGUGUGAGAUGGGCUUUGUCCCGGCGGGAGCGAUAGUGCCAUGGGCAUCAACGAGACGGAUUCGAUGAGAUUAAAUUAGGCAGAAACAGUCGUAAAACUGGGUUAGGUGUGGAUGAGCCGAUCGAGUUCCGAGAGGGUAGGCAUUAACUCUGGAUUUCCCCAGGAGCCACGGUUACGUGAGUGUGUUCAGCGUUUGCAGCGACUCUGGAACAAAACCCCCGCGAGUGCUAUGACUCGACUCUGAUUAAUAACCAGAGUUGUCAGGUCUAGUUUGGGCCAGUUUCUGGAGAUGCAAGGGGCUCCGGGAACGGAUCGAGGCUGGGGCCCUCUGAUGUUCUGUGCAUCCAUUCCAUAAUUCAUCAUUUUAUAAUUUGUUCCUAUAAACGAUUAUACCUUAUUUCCAUCCUUAUUUCUAUUUUAUUUAUAUAAUUCAUAAUUUCUGGGUCUACAGUAUAAAUGAUGUAAUUUGUAGCUCCUCCAACUACAUUUAUAUUUUAUUUCUCUUCUAAUUUUGCUUCUAUAGCUUAUUUCUGCUUAUUUGUGUAUAUUUACUUAUAAAAUUUGUGUUUUGUACAAAAUUACAAAUUGUAGUUUGUCAUUUCUGUUGUUGGCACUAUUUCCUUUCUUUUCUAAUUUUAUUUCUACAAUUAAUUCCUAUUUUAUUUACAUAGUUAUUUAUGUGAUUUAUAACUUGUAUAUAAAAGACGGCAUAAUUUGUAAUUUACCUAAUUACAGAUUUACAAUUUCUAUUCUAUUUUUCUUAUAAUUCUCAUUCUAUACUUUCUACUUAUUUCAUAUAGUUACUUCCAUAAUUUAUAUAUUCUAUUAUAUAAAGUAUAAAUCAUAGUUUGUCAUUUCUGUAUUAUUGUAACAAUAUUUUCUCUUCCAAUUUUAUUUCUAGAAUUUAUUUCUAUGUUAUUAAUUUAUAAAUUCUGUCUGUCAAAGAUACAUGACAUAAUUUAUAAUUUCCAUAAUUACAUUUAUAUCUUCUUUCUCUUCUAAAUCUUCUAUGGCUUAUUUCUCCUUAUUUUUAUGUAUCUAUAUAAUUUAUACAUCCUAUAUAUAAGUUAUAAAUUAUACGGCUUGUCAUUUCUGUAAUUAUUAUUACAACUACAUUUUCUUUCUCGUCUAAUUUCUAGAACUUAUUUCUAUUUUAUUUACUUAUGUAACUUCUAAGUUCCUUGCAUAAAUUAUGUACUUUUUAA